CAGCAGCCGCGGUAAUACGGAGGGGGUUAGCGUUGUUCGGAAUUACUGGGCGUAAAGCGCGCGUAGGCGGAUUGGAAAGUUGGGGGUGAAAUCCCAGGGCUCAACCCUGGAACUGCCUCCAAAACUCCCAGUCUUGAGUUCGAGAGAGGUGAGUGGAAUUCCGAGUGUAGAGGUGAAAUUCGUAGAUAUUCGGAGGAACACCAGUGGCGAAGGCGGCUCACUGGCUCGAUACUGACGCUGAGGUGCGAAAGUGUGGGGAGCAAACAGGAUUAGAUACCCUGGUAGUCCACACCGUAAACGAUGAAUGCCAGACGUCGGCUAGCAUGCUAGUCGGUGUCACACCUAACGGAUUAAGCAUUCCGCCUGGGGAGUACGGUCGCAAGAUUAAAACUCAAAGGAAUUGACGGGGCCCGCACAAGCGGUGGAGCAUGUGGUUUAAUUCGAAGCAACGCGCAGAACCUUACCAACCCUUGACAUCCCUAUCGCGGUUUCCAGAGAUGGAUUCAUUCAGAUCGGCUGGAUAGGUGACAGGUGCUGCAUGGCUGUCGUCAGCUCGUGUCGUGAGAUGUUCGGUUAAGUCCGGCAACGAGCGCAACCCACAUCCUUAGUUGCCAGCAGUUCGGCUGGGCACUCUAGGGAAACUGCCCGUGAUAAGCGGGAGGGAGGUGUGGAUGACGUCAAGUCCUCAUGGCCCUUACGGGUUGGGCUACACACGUGCUACAAUGGCGCUCACAGUGGGUUAAUCCCCAAAAGGCGUCUCAGUUCGGAUUGUCGUCUGCAACUCGACGGCAUGAAGUCGGAAUCGCUAGUAAUCGCGGAACAGCAUGCCACGGUGAAUACGUUCCCGGGCCUUGUACACACCGCCCGUCACACCAUGGGAGUUGGUUCUACCUGACGACGCUGCGCUAACCCUUUCGGGAGGCAGGCGGCCACGGUAGGAUCAGCGACUGGGGUG
rnacentral:rRNA from 1 species